GAUGAACGCUGGCGGCGUGCCUAAUACAUGCAAGUCGAGCGAACAGAUAAGGAGCUUGCUCCUUUGACGUUAGCGGCGGACGGGUGAGUAACACGUGGAUAACCUACCUAUAAGACUGGGAUAACUUCGGGAAACCGGAGCUAAUACCGGAUAACAUAUUGAACCGCAUGGUUCAAUAGUGAAAGGCGGCUUUGCUGUCACUUAUAGAUGGAUCCGCGCCGUAUUAGCUAGUUGGUAAGGUAACGGCUUACCAAGGCAACGAUACGUAGCUGACCUGAGAGGAUGAUCAGCCACACUGGAACUGAGACACGGUCCAGACUCCUACGGGAGGCAGCAGUAGGGAAUCUUCCGCAAUGGGCGAAAGCCUGACGGAGCAACGCCGCGUGAGUGAUGAAGGUCUUCGGAUCGUAAAACUCUGUUAUCAGGGAAGAACAAAUGUGUAAGUAACUGUGCACAUCUUGACGGUACCUGAUCAGAAAGCCACGGCUAACUACGUG
rnacentral:rRNA from 1 species